GUAUGAGUGUGUGUGUGUGUGUAUAUAAUGAAUGAGGUGUGUGUAUAUAUAAUGCACACACUGCAUUCAUUAUAUACACACACACUGCCUU